UAUGUACAUCGUACAAUACAUGUUAUAUUUCAAAGCUAAAUAAGCUUUGAAUUAAAUUGAAUAAAAAGCUAGAACUACAAACAAAGAUUUACAAUGAUUAAAAUUCACUCUUUAUCUAUCUAUAUAUUUAGCUUGAAAUCCACAAAAAAAUAUGAUAACAUCCGCAAACUUUCAUGAAAAGAAAAUGUUCGCAGAUAGAGCCAGAAAUAGGGUUUAUAAUGGAGAUGGGCGUGAAGCGCUCUGAAAGCAUAGUUUCUAAUAUGGUAUCUCCAAACUAAACGAGGAAUGACGAGCUGCGAACUCCCGAAGAGAGAAUACAGCUGAUUUCAAGAACCUCUCUAACUUAUAAACAUUUAAACCGUGAACUAUAGACUAUUCUCAAAACUAUACUCUCAUAUUUAGAUAUUUAUUCUUAUGAUAACUGCAAAUAUUUAUUACUAUAUAACUGCAUUUACCCAUAUAUUAAACCAAAUAUUGAGAAUGUUUUAUGUAUCGAACUCAAAGUUUUAUUCUUAAAUAGCAGUAAAAAGUCUAGCCAGCUUUUCUUUAUAAAAAGAAAUAACUUUAUAUUUACUUUCAGAAUUAGAAUGGGUUGAUUACCCCAUCUGGUUCUAUUGAAGUGUUGCCCAGGUUGCGUUUAAUCAAGAUAUCAACCCUGAGAGAAAUUAUCAUCGAGCAGUUCCGACUUGAUCCUACUCAGCAGGAAGCCAAUGCUUGGGGAACAAACCACCUCCUCCACGUUCCUCUCGUAAGGCUCAGCCUCAAGAUAUAUAUACCAGGAUUAAUCGUACCUCGUUGCUAUGCGCUAGCUACGCUACUACCUCUGCUUGGAUCACCCAUGGUCUGAUGCAGCUCCUUACGGGUCUCCUCUACGCCGUGUCAACCUACUCUUCUGAUGAUCCACGCGGAGAGUACCUACUCCUCCAGCCCGAGCAUCGUAAACCUGUAGUGCUCCACCUGGUUCAUGUUCACACCUUCACGACCUCCUCCUAGCAGCGGACCAUAAACUGUACCUCAUCUACCUCUCAUGUACCUCCCAGCCUCUACUGGAUAAGACUGAUCCUAGGCUCAACCUGUGGAUCAUUGAUAGUCUUGUUCCUGAUACUUACCUGACUGCAGAGCUAGCCAUCCUACCUCAUAAUCAACUCGCGAAGCAUAGAGAUCUACUACUGCUACAAACCCCUUGGCCAGUUCAACUUUUUCACGACUAGAGCUGUAUGAAUACACCUAUCCUGAAAUACAUGCUUGAAAAGACUGUCCGUGCAUUAAAGAGGUGCCCCAGGGUAUUUUGGAUGCUCGUCCAUUAUGUUUGUAUGCGUUCUACCUGCUCCACCUGGGAAGUGACAAGGAGUGACAAACCCAGUGCUCACAUAAACCUUGAA